CAACAAACCCUAAGCGGAGCAACACUCCAAUAACCGAGCAACACUCUGGUUGCCGAGCAGCACUCCAGUCGCUGAACCCUCUCCUGCAAAAAGCAACUGAACAAAUAUCUUCUUCGGAGAAAUUGCACCAACUGAAAAAGAUGAUGAUGAGUCUGGUGUGGAUUCAGAUUAAGCAUGAUGGCUGUUUGGUUUUAUUUGUUUUAAAGUGAUUGUUUCGAUUUAAAGUGUGUUUAUUUUUGUUGUUUUGCUAGACAUUUUUAAUUGUCUUUGUUUUAUGUUUAAUUAAGUUGAAUUUGUAUUGAAUUUGAAUGUGAUAUAUUCUUGUUAUUCUAGUUUAUUGAUGGUUUUAAACUUCAUUUUAUG